rnacentral:rRNA from 1 species
CCUACGGGGGGCAGCAGUGAGGAAUAUUGGUCAAUGGGCGCGAGACUGAACCAGCCAAGCAGCGUGAAGGAUGACUGCUCUAUGGGUUGUAAACUUCUUUUAUAAAGGAAUAAAGUGAGGCACGCGUGCCUGUUUGAAAGUACCUUAUGAAUAAGGAUCGGCUAACUCCGUGCCAGCAGCCGCGGUAAUACGGAGGAUCCGAGCGUUAUCCGGAUUUAUUGGGUUUAAAGGGAGCGUAGAUGGGUGGUUAAGUUAGUGGUGAAAGUUUGCGGCUCAACCGUGAAAUUGCAAUUGAUACUGUUAGCCUUGAGUACAGUUGAGGUAGGCGGAAUGCGUGGUGUAGCGGUGAAAUGCUUAGAUAUCACGCAGAACUCCGAUUGCGAAGGCAGCCUACUAAACUGCCUCUGACAUUGAGGCUCGAAAGUGUGGGUAUCAAACAGGAUUAGAUACCCCGGUAGUC